GACGAACGCUGGCGGCGUGCCUAAUACAUGCAAGUUGAGCGCUGAAGGUUGGUACUUGUACCAACUGGAUGAGCAGCGAACGGGUGAGUAACGCGUGGGGAAUCUGCCUUUGAGCGGGGGACAACAUUUGGAAACGAAUGCUAAUACCGCAUAAAAACUUUAAACACAAGUUUUAAGUUUGAAAGAUGCAAUUGCAUCACUCAAAGAUGAUCCCGCGUUGUAUUAGCUAGUUGGUGAGGUAAAGGCUCACCAAGGCGAUGAUACAUAGCCGACCUGAGAGGGUGAUCGGCCACAUUGGGACUGAGACACGGCCCAAACUCCUACGGGAGGCAGCAGUAGGGAAUCUUCGGCAAUGGACGAAAGGCUGACCGAGCAACGCCGCGUGAGUGAAGAAGGUUGUCGGAUCGUAAAACUCUGUUGGUAGAGAAGAACGUUGGCGAGAGUGGAAAGCUCAUCAAGUGACGGUAACUACCCAGAAAGGGACGGCUAACUACGUG
rnacentral:rRNA from 1 species